GCCAGUGAAAUUCAACAGUGCCUAUAUGUUAUUGAGGACUUGUUCUUCCUAUUUCUCCUUCGAAGGAAUCUGAUGUCAGAUGACUGUGUUCAUCAAUAACUACUGAGGCUUCCCAUAAAAUUAAUGUUGGAUGUGGCCUAGAUAAGCAGGUUAAAAGAUCCUUAAUUUCCCAUGGGAAAGUGCUAUUGCCGUACCUCCACAUACCGGCAGGCGUUCCUGCGAUUUCUAUAUGUGCCCGCCAUCCGAGCAGUCUUUCCAGCGGCACCAGUCUGAUGAAGGCCGGAUUGUGGCCGAAACGUCACAUAUAUGAUAUGCCGCAUUGCAAAUUAAAUUAAUUCUAUUGCACCGCAUAAACUGGAGUUUGUAUUCUUCUUGUAUAAUGUAUAUGCCAUACGGAAAAACGGAACGGAAAAACGGAAUGGAACCGGAAACACUACUGAAACAAAAAACGGAUCCAUUAAAAACGGCCCGCAAAACACAUAAAAAGCCAUAUGAUCGUGUGAACAAGCCCUUACACAGAGGAUGCUAUCCAUCACUGAUAACACCUGCCCCGUGUUCAACUGAACUCAGAAAGAACAGAGAUGAAGGAAGUGGAACAAAUGGUUGUCAUGAGAAUAGUAUGAAGUACUAAUACAGACAUCUCCCAAAGCGUAUCUGUCCUACAGACAUCAUGAAGAGACCUCUAUCAGAAAACAUACCUACAACAUGAAGGGCACAGUAAGGCGACUUAUUUAAUAUCUAAGGCGUUGUCACGU